UCGGUGCAUCGUCAUCAUCAUCAGUGGGAUACAUUAGUGAUUGAUUAGGAUAUUUUCUGAUUAAACAUCAGUGAUUGAUUAAGAAAAAGAAGCUUCGAACAUUCCUGCUACAGAAAAUCUCAAGGACUUCACACUGCCGCGAAAAAAGAAAAAAACCAUCGGUUAUGGUCUAUGCAUUGCCAGAAAAUACAAGUUAAGAAGAACUCGGGUGCUAAUCACGUGCACAAUUUUGCACCUUGCCGGCCAUCCCGGCCAUCAGUGUGAUUAUUCAUGCCCAUGUAUAUAAGCACAAAACUUCUGCGAGAAGUUUUAUCAGUGCAGCAACGAAUGCCAGAACAGAUUUCCUGAGUGUAGGUGCAAGGCGCAAUGCAAUACAAAGCAAUGUCCUUGUUAUCUGGCUAUCAGGGAAUGUGAUCUGGAUCUUUGCCAAACAUAUGGUGCAGAUCAUUUCCAAAUCAAUUCUAAAUCUUGAAAAAAUGUCAGCGUGCAACAUGGUCUUUAUAACUUGAAAUAUACUUUAUACAAUUUGGAAGAUCAGCAGCAAAGAAUGAAUUCAUCUCAGAAUAUUGUGGCGAAAUUCAGUCAAGACAAAGCUGACAGGAGGGGAAAAGUAUAUGAUAAAUAUAUGUGUAUUAAUCU